rnacentral:rRNA from 1 species
GACGAACCGUGCGAACGUUGUUCGGAAUCACUGGGCUUAAAGGGCGCGUAGGCGGGCUACCAAGUCUGUGGUGAAAUCCCCCGGCUCAACCGGGGAACGGCCGUGGAUACUGGGAGCCUCGAGGGAGAUAGGGGCAGACGGAACUGAUGGUGGAGCGGUGAAAUGCGUUGAUAUCAUCAGGAACUCCGGUGGCGAAGGCGGUCUGCUGGAUCUCAUCUGACGCUGAGGCGCGAAAGCCAGGGGAGCAAAC